AGGAAACACUCAAUAAGAUUUUACUUAGUAAAUAUUUGGGGAAAGAUUUGUGCCGGUAAUCUCAACAUGUCGAUUAAUUUCUCUGUGGCAGAAUUGACACAGCCACCAGUAGACCCUAACCUCCUCCAACUAUAUAAUGCUUUCUUUGGGUCCCUGAAGAGGCUGGAAGCAUCUCAAUUCUAUCACCUUCGUUCUUUAAUUCUACAAACACAAUGGCAUCUGUUCCCCAUCAAAGCAUAAAUGCAUUUUUAAUCCCAGCAUCAAGCCGCAAACCGUUGGAUUACGAGUAGUUCAGGAAAGCUUUGGCCGCUAUCUUGUCAUUAAUAGAAAGUACAUCAGUAAGAUAUCACAGGUUGUUUUAAUCUUUCACAGAAUUUCUCUCCAGAUGGUGGUGUUAGGGGUGCCUCUGAAAACCCUGCUUCCGUUGAAUCCCAUCCCCAGUUCUCCAUAUGUUGACUCAGAGCCCAUGCAGACCUCUCUGGAAAUGUUAAUACUGUUUGAAGGCUUCUGCCAGCAUCCUUCCUUCCAUUUCCUCAGAUGUUCCUGUCUGGCUACCUCAAGGACUGGGAUACUUCAUUAUCUCAUGUGUCUUUAGAUCAUGGGGUUGGAACAGUUCCUUUGGAGAUUAUUGGAUCUAUGAUAAAACCUCACUAAAGUCAUAAAUAUUGAACAAAUUGGCUGCGGAAUGUUUCCCUUGUAUCCGUGAAGAUAUUUGGAGCCGUGUUAGCUUGACUGCUAAUUCUGUACCGUUAUCUCAUGACAAUAAAACUAAUUCUAAAUGUACAAUUUAGUACAUUCCUACAAAUUUGUAAAUCAGGCUGUAUUCUCUCUUGAUCUACACACUGGGUAGAUUUGCAAGAUCUGGGCGAUUUUCAGUGACACUUUUCCUAGGGUAUUGUAUCCCCGUCCUCCCCAGGUUAAAGACAGUCUUCCACUUUCUGAACUCUCAACAUGUAUGUCCUCUCAGUUUGCAAUAGAAGCUGAUUCUGUUGCCUCUGCUCUUUGGGGAACCAGGUGACGAGACACAUUUUAAAUGCUAACAAGCUACAUCUCUUGCUCCUUUGCAACUCUGUGGCAUUUUCUCCUUGUUUAUUAUUUGUUUCAAUAUCACCAUAUCAUUAAACCGAAUAGUUGCCUACUAGCCAUUCUGUGGUAACAGACAGGUGUUCUAAAUGAAGGGGAUAAAUAUAUAAUGUUAUGUGUGCAUAUAUGUGUCUAUUUUUGUGAAUCACUGCUUAUUUCUUUUACUAGUCUGUCUCACUGAAAGAAAACAUGUAUUUCCUUUUAAGCCCCCUCCUUUUGAAUUCUGCAUGCUUUCUUCUGUGUGGGCCCACUGACGGAACAUUGUUCAGAACGCACAGAGUCUGUCAGAAAAGAG
rnacentral:lncRNA from 1 species